rnacentral:rRNA from 1 species
GAAGCAGCUAGAGAUUAGCUGUGUCCUUCGGGACAAGGAGACAGGUGGUGCAUGGUUGUCGUCAGCUCGUGUCGUGAGAUGUUGGGUUAAGUCCCGCAACGAGCGCAACCCUGUGGUUAGUUGCCAGCAAGUUAGCGUUGGGCACUCUAGCCAGACUGCCGGUGAUAAAUCGGAGGAAGGUGGGGACGACGUCAAAUCAUCAUGCCCUUUAUGUCCUGGGCUACACACGUACUACAAUGGCGUAUACAGAGAGACGCGAAGUGGCGACAUGGAGCAAACCUCAACAAAGUACGUCUCAGUUCAGAUUGAAGUCUGCAACUCGACUUCAUGAAGGCGGAAUCGCUAGUAAUCGCGGAUCAGCAUGCCGCGGUGAAUACGUUCCCGGGCCUU